AUGAACAUUCCUAAAAGCCACCAGACUUUCUAUAAGAAGUAUGGCAAACACCAACCCCACAAAGUGAUACAGUAUAAGAAAGUAUGACAGGAAGCAGGGUAGCUAUGGUGGGCAGACUAAGCCAAUUUCCCAGAAAAAGGUUAAAACUAUAAAGAAGAUUGUGCUGAGGCUAGAGUGCAUGGAACCCAACUGCAGAUGUAAAAGAAUGCUAGCUUCUAAGACAUGCAAGCAUUUUGAACUGGGAGGCGAUAAGACGAGAAAGGACCAAGUGAUACAGUUC
rnacentral:lncRNA from 1 species